rnacentral:ncRNA from 1 species
CAAAGGCUUGGUCCUGACUUUAUUAUCAGCUUUAACUGAACUUACACAUGCAAGUAUCCGCACCCCCGUGAGAAUGCCCUCAGUCCCCUGCCUGGGAACAAGGAGCUGGUAUCAGGCACAAUUUUAGCCCACGACACCUUGUUUAGCCACACCCCCAAGGGAACUCAGCAGUGACAGAUUUUAAGCCAUAAGUGAAAACUUGACUUAGUAAAAGCUAAGAGGGCCGGUAAAACUCGUGCCAGCCACCGCGGUUAUACGAGAGGCCCAAGUUGAUUAUUUACGGCGUAAAGAGUGGUUAGGGAAGAAUAAGUACUAAAGCCGAAUGUUUUUAAAGCUGUUAUACGCACCCAAAACCCAGAAGUCCAACCACGAAAGUGGCUUUACUAAACCCUGAACCCACGAAAGCUAGGGAACAAACUGGGAUUAGAGACCCCACUAUGCCUAGCCGUAAACAUUGAUAGAUUAAUACACCCCCUAUCCGCCCGGGAACUACGAGCACCAGCUUAAAACCCAAAGGACUUGGCGGUGCUUUAGAUCCUACUAGAGGAGCCUGUUCUAGAACCGAUAACCCCCGUUCAACCUCACCUUUCCUUGUUCUUUCCCGCCUAUAUACCGCCGUCGUCAGCCCACCCUAUGAAGGUCUAAAAGUAGGCUAAAUUGGCACAGCCCAGAACGUCAGGCCGAGGUGUAGCGUAUGGAAGGGGAAGAAAUGGGCUACAUUCCCUAUAUUAGGGCACACGAAUGGUAUGCUGAAACGCACAUCUUGAAGGAGGAUUUAGCAGUAAGCAGGAAGUAGAGCGUCCUGCUGAAAUUGGCUCUGAAGCGCGCACAUACCGCCCGUCACUCUCCCCAAAAAAUAUCCCCUAAUUAUUUAAAACCUUAGAGCAAUAAAGGGGAGGCAAGUCGUAACAUGGUAAGUGUACCGGAAGGUGCACUUGGAUAAACAAU